rnacentral:rRNA from 1 species
AAAUUGAAGAGUUUGAUCAUGGCUCAGAUUGAACGCUGGCGGCAGGCCUAACACAUGCAAGUCGAACGGUAACAGGAAGCAGCUUGCUGCUUUGCUGACGAGUGGCGGACGGGUGAGUAAUGUCUGGGAAACUGCCUGAUGGAGGGGGAUAACUACUGGAAACGGUGGCUAAUACCGCAUAACGUCGCAAGACCAAAGAGGGGGACCUUCGGGCCUCUUGCCAUCAGAUGUGCCCAGAUGGGAUUAGCUUGUUGGUGAGGUAACGGCUCACCAAGGCGACGAUCCCUAGCUGGUCUGAGAGGAUGACCAGCCACACUGGAACUGAGACACGGUCCAGACUCCUACGGGAGGCAGCAGUGGGGAAUAUUGCACAAUGGGCGCAAGCCUGAUGCAGCCAUGCCGCGUGUAUGAAGAAGGCCUUCGGGUUGUAAAGUACUUUCAGCGGGGAGGAAGGUGUUGUGGUUAAUAACCGCAGCAAUUGACGUUACCCGCAGAAGAAGCACCGGCUAACUCCGUGCCAGCAGCCGCGGUAAUACGGAGGGUGCAAGCGUUAAUCGGAAUUACUGGGCGUAAAGCGCACGCAGGCGGUCUGUCAAGUCGGAUGUGAAAUCCCCGGGCUCAACCUGGGAACUGCAUUCGAAACUGGCAGGCUUGAGUCUUGUAGAGGGGGGUAGAAUUCCAGGUGUAGCGGUGAAAUGCGUAGAGAUCUGGAGGAAUACCGGUGGCGAAGGCGGCCCCCUGGACAAAGACUGACGCUCAGGUGCGAAAGCGUGGGGAGCAAACAGGAUUAGAUACCCUGGUAGUCCACGCCGUAAACGAUGUCUACUUGGAGGUUGUGCCCUUGAGGCGUGGCUUCCGGAGCUAACGCGUUAAGUAGACCGCCUGGGGAGUACGGCCGCAAGGUUAAAACUCAAAUGAAUUGACGGGGGCCCGCACAAGCGGUGGAGCAUGUGGUUUAAUUCGAUGCAACGCGAAGAACCUUACCUGGUCUUGACAUCCACAGAACUUUCCAGAGAUGGAUUGGUGCCUUCGGGAACUGUGAGACAGGUGCUGCAUGGCUGUCGUCAGCUCGUGUUGUGAAAUGUUGGGUUAAGUCCCGCAACGAGCGCAACCCUUAUCCUUUGUUGCCAGCGGUCCGGCCGGGAACUCAAAGGAGACUGCCAGUGAUAAACUGG